rnacentral:rRNA from 1 species
UACAGAGGGGGCAAGCGUUGUUCGGAAUUACUGGGCGUAAAGGGCGCGUAGGCGGCCUGCUAAGUCGAACGUGAAAUCCCCGGGCUCAACCCGGGAACUGCGUCCGAUACUGGCAGGCUUGAAUCCGGGAGAGGGAUGUGGAAUUCCAGGUGUAGCGGUGAAAUGCGUAGAUAUCUGGAGGAACACCGGUGGCGAAGGCGGCAUCCUGGACCGGUAUUGACGCUGAUGCGCGAAAGCCAGGGGAGCAA